GACGAACGCUGGCGGCGUGCUUAACACAUGCAAGUCGAGCGGUAAGGCCCUUUCGGGGGUACACGAGCGGCGAACGGGUGAGUAACACGUGGGUGACCUGCCCUCAGCUCUGGGAUAAGCCUGGGAAACCGGGUCUAAUACUGGAUAUGACUCCAUGACGCAUGUUGUGGGGUGGAAAGCCUUGUGCGGCUGAGGAUGGGCCCGCGGCCUAUCAGCUUGUUGGUGGGGUGANGGCCUACCAAGGCGACGACGGGUAGCCGGCCUGAGAGGGCGACCGGCCACACUGGGACUGAGACACGGCCCAGACUCCUACGGGAGGCAGCAGUGGGGAAUAUUGGACAAUGGGCGCAAGCCUGAUCCAGCCAUGCCGCGUGAGUGAUGAAGGCCCUCGGGUCGUAAAGCUCUGUGGAGGGGAAGAAUCCCCUGCAGCAUCAGAUCCUGCAGAAUGACGGUA
rnacentral:rRNA from 1 species